rnacentral:rRNA from 3 species
AUAAAGUCUAGCCUGCCCACUGAAUUUUGUUUGAAGGGCCGCAGUAUUUUGACUGUGCAAAGGUAGCAUAAUCAUUAGUCUUUUAAUUGAAGGCUGGUAUGAAUGGUUGGACGAGAUACAAGCUGUGUCAUAAAAAUUAAAAUUUGAAUUUAUCUUUUUAGUUAAAAGACUAAAAUAAAGUUAAAAGACGAGAAGACCCUAUAGAGCUUUAUAUAAUUAAUAUUUAAAUUAUUAAGAUUUUUUAAAUUAAAAUAUUAUUUUAUAUUUUGUUGGGGUGACAAUAAAAUUUAUAAAACUUUUAUUUUUAUUAAACAUUAAUUUAUGAUUAAAUGAUCCAGUUUUAUUGAUUAUAAAUUUAAGUUACCUUAGGGAUAACAGCGUAAUUUUUUUUGAGAGUUCUUAUCGACAAAAAAGAUUGCGACCUCGAUGUUGGAUUAAGAGUAAUUUUGGGUGUAGAAGUUCAAAGU